AACGAACGCUGGCGGCAGGCUUAACACAUGCAAGUCGAGCGCCCCGAAAGGGGAGCGGCAGACGGGUGAGUAACGCGUGGGAAUGUGCCCUUUGGUCUGGAAUAACUCAGGGAAACUUGAGCUAAUACCGGAUAAGCCCUUCGGGGGAAAGAUUUAUUGCCAUUGGAGACGACCGCGUAAGAUUAGCUAGUUGGUGAGGUAAAAGCACGCCAAGGCGAUGAUCUGUAGCUGGUCUGAGAGGACGACCAGCCACACUGGGACUGAGACACGGCCCAGACUCCUACGGGAGGCAGCAGUGGGGAAUAUUGGACAAUGGGGGCAACCCUGAUCCAGCCAUGCCGCGUGAGUGAUGAAGGCCUUAGGGUUGUAAAGCUCUUUUACUCGGGAAGAUAAUGACUGUACCGAGAGAAUAAGCCCCGGCUAACUUCGUGCCAGCCGCCGCGGUAA
rnacentral:rRNA from 1 species